GAUGAACGCUGGCGGCGUGCUUAACACAUGCAAGUCGAACGGAAAGGCCCAAGCUUGCUUGGGUACUCGAGUGGCGAACGGGUGAGUAACACGUGGGUGAUCUGCCCUGCACUUCGGGAUAAGCCUGGGAAACUGGGUCUAAUACCGGAUAGGACGAUGGUUUGGAUGCCAUUGUGGAAAGUUUUUUCGGUGUGGGAUGAGCUCGCGGCCUAUCAGCUUGUUGGUGGGGUAAUGGCCUACCAAGGCGUCGACGGGUAGCCGGCCUGAGAGGGUGUACGGCCACAUUGGGACUGAGAUACGGCCCAGACUCCUACGGGAGGCAGCAGUGGGGAAUAUUGCACAAUGGGCGCAGGCCUGAUGCAGCGACGCCGCGUGGGGGAUGACGGCCUUCGGGUUGUAAACUCCUGUCGCUAGGGACGAAGCGUUUUUGUGACGGUACCUGGAGAAGAAGCACCGGCUAACUACGUG
rnacentral:rRNA from 1 species